GACGUAGGGCGCGAGCGUUGUCCGGAUUUAUUGGGCGUAAAGAGCUCGUAGGCGGCUUGUUGCGUCGACUGUGAAAACCCGCGGCUCAACCGCGUGGCUUGCAGUCGAUACGGGCAGACUAGAGUGCGGUAGGGGAGACUGGAAUUCCUGGUGUAGCGGUGAAAUGCGCAGAUAUCAGGAGGAACACCGGUGGCGAAGGCGGGUCUCUGGGCCGUAACUGACGCUGAGGAGCGAAAGCGUGGGGAGCGAACAGG
rnacentral:rRNA from 1 species